UAAAGAAUCUGGGGACAGGUGCCGAGCCAUUGACUGUAGUAAGUGUGACAGCGUGGCCGAGUCUUCAUCGCAUCGUGGCUGGGGACCAGUUUGCAAAGCGUUGUAUAGUGAAAACCACCCAAAUUACAUACUGCUCUUUAACUGGGGAUUUCAGAAAACAGCAGUCCUGAGAGAAAGAAGACAAGAAUCGUAAUGCAGCAGCAGCAAACAAUCAAAAUUGCAAGCUUUGACAUGAAUUAAAUUUGCAAAGGUGGACGCCAUGCCUAACAACGUGACAAGCUAAUACGGAGCAGAAUGAGAUUAAUGGGUUGAAAUAUCUCUUUCCUGUUUAAGGUUAACCUCAGACUUAUAGUACACAGCAGUCCGAAGGCGAUGUAUGGAGUUUGGCUUGAGAAAAUAUCACUACUCUGGGCCUUUUCCUACUCCCAUUCCAGUUGCUGAAUAUUUUGCUCUUGUCCUUGCAGGACUGUCGCCUGAGGAAAGACAACAGAAUUCAACAUAGACUGUAUAUUCAAUGAGGAUUUAUCUUCUGUUUUAUGAAACUAGACUGACGACUUCCUAACAGAUGCAAGCAAUUUUCCUGUGAAGAAUUAUCAAAUUUCUCUGUGAGAAAAGCUUUCUCCCUCGUUUUAUUAGUGAACUGUAUCUAUGCAAAGGAAUUCUGUUACAAAUAGAGCUAAAUACAUAUAGU